GUAGUUUUGAUACCUCAUGUUGACUUGAACAACAAAAUGAUUUGACCGCAUUGACCAAAACUGACCAUAUGUGCACUUUAAUUUGUUAAUCUAUAUACCAUGUAUACAUGCAUAGUAAAUCAGCCAUAUUUUUGUGUUAGAUUCAAUGUACAAUACAAUGGACAGCAAUAUUGCAAUACAAUAACAACAAAUUUUUGUUCGCAUAAAUUUAGGGUGCCAGCAUGUCCUCCUUUUAUUUAAAAUAUUGAUACGUAACAAAAUUUCAGUAGUUUUGAUACCUCAUGCUGACUUG
rnacentral:lncRNA from 1 species